AUUGAACGCUGGCGGCAGGCCUAACACAUGCAAGUCGAGCGGAUGAAGGGAGCUUGCUCCUGGAUUCAGCGGCGGACGGGUGAGUAAUGCCUAGGAAUCUGCCUGGUAGUGGGGGAUAACGUCCGGAAACGGCCGCUAAUACCGCAUACGUCCUGAGGGAGAAAGUGGGGGAUCUUCGGACCUCACGCUAUCAGAUGAGCCUAGGUGGGGUUAGCUAGUUGGUGGGGUAAAGGCCUACCAAGGCGACGAUCCGUAACUGGUCGGAGAGGAUGAUCAGGCACACUGGAACUGGGACACGGUCCAGACCCCUACAGGAGGCAGCAGUGGGGAAUAUUGGACAAUGGGCGAAAGCCUGAUCCAGCCAUGCCGCGUGUGUGAAGAAGGUCUUCGGAUUGUAAAGCACUUUAAGUUGGGAGGAAGGGCAGUAAGUUAAUACCUUGCUGUUUUGACGUUACCAACAGAAUAAGCACCGGCUAACUUCGUG
rnacentral:rRNA from 1 species